AGAUUCUGUGCUGUUCUGGAUUUCUGAUUCUGUAGUAUUGUCUUUCUGCAUGAAAAUAUUUCAGUUUCUCUUCAUUAACUUUGUUCUUCAAAUUAAAAAACAGGAGGUUUCUUUGUUGAAAAACAUUGAAAUUUGAAAUCCCUGAAAAAAAAGGUGAGAAUUUAUUAUGAUUGUGAUUUUGUCAUCAUGUUACGUUUAUAUGGUUGUCUUUUGUAUAUUAGGGUUGGACUUACGCUUUUUAAUUUUAAUUAAUAUUUGCAAUAUCUUUACGAUUAGAAGUAAAUAUGAUGUUCUAAUUAAAUGUUAUGUAUUAAAAAGACCUUGUUCUUUUUGCACAAGAAAAAAAAGACUUUGUUUUUACUCGUACUGAUUAUCAUCAAAUUUUCUCAAAUAUUUUUUAGUCCUCUCUGUGUAUUAGUUCUACAAUCAUUAUUUUAUAUUAUAGAAAUUAAAGGAUUAUAUAGUUUUAUGAGGAUGAAAUAUGAUCAACAUAUAAAUUAUACAAUGAGAAUAAUAUUAAAUAAAAGUAUAAAACCCUUACUUUGUGUGAUUCUGUAUACCUUUUUCCGUUAUUAUGUCAGAAUUAUUUAUAUUUUUAAAUAUACAAGAAAAAUGAAGAAUCACAACCAAAUAGAGAAAGGGAAAAUAAUUUCCACAGAAACGUAAUUGAAAAAAAUAAAUGAAGAUUGACCGGAU